rfam:Pythium ultimum DAOM BR144 ctg_1117875581132, whole genome shotgun sequence.
GCUCCUAUAGCUUAGUGGUUAAGCUCCGUGUAUGCACGCGGGUGUCGUGGGUUCGAGUCCCACCAGGAGCA